rnacentral:rRNA from 1 species
GUGGGGAAUAUUGCGCAAUGGGGGAAACCCUGACGCAGCGACGCCGCGUGAGCGAAGAAGGCCUUAGGGUUGUAAAGCUCUGUUUUAAGGGACGAAUGUCGUGGGGAGUAAUAUGCUCUGCGAAUGACGGUACCUUAAGAGGAAGCCCCGGCUAACUACGUGCCAGCAGCCGCGGUAAGACGUAGGGGGCGAGCGUUGUCCGGAAUUACUGGGCGUAAAGAGCACGUAGGCGGGAACUUAAGUCAGGUGUGAAAGACCGGGGCUCAACUCCGGGGUUGCACUUGAAACUGGGUUGCUUGAGGGCAGGAGAGGAAAGCAGAAUUCCUGGUGUAGCGGUGAAAUGCGUAGAAAUCAGGAGGAAUACCAGUGGCGAAGGCGGCUUUCUGGACUGACCCUGACGCUGAGGUGCGAAAGCGUGGGUAGCAAACAGGAUUAGAAACCCCAGUAGUCC